CUCGUAGGUGGCCAACUAAGUCAGACGUGAAAUCCCCAGGCUUAACCUGGGAACUGCGUCUGAUACUGGAUGGCUUGAAUUCGGGAGAGGGAUGCAGAAUUCCAGGUGUAGCGGUGAAAUGCGUAGAUAUCUGGAGGAAUACCGGUGGCGAAGGCGGCAUCCUGGACCGAGAUUGACACUGAGGAGCGAAAGCCAGGGAGCAA
rnacentral:rRNA from 1 species